GCUGGGUGAAGUGACAAGCUCGUGGCACUCUUCUCACAGGCGAAUUGAACUUAUUACACAGGUGUAAUGUAAAAUUCAUAGCCCCUGAGUGACCAGACCGUGAUUUGUGCGAGGCCCAUUGUUUCGCCUCUUGGUGGAGGGACAGAAGCUGUUUUCCCCUUUGUGGUUUGACCUCAAUUGACCAGCUGCUAAUUCUCGUCCUCUGCUUUGUCUCCACUCUGUUCCAAUUCGCGGCCCGUGGGUCGGAGUAGGUCGCGCUUAAUCCACGUAGAUAUUAUGAAUGACGAAAAGUGUUCCAUUUAUAAUUGGAACCAGGGAAGUCAUUGU